ACCAUGCAAGUCGAACGGUCUCUUCGGAGGCAGUGGCAGACGGGUGAGUAAUGCAUGGGAAUCUACCGUUCUCUACGGAAUAACUCAGGGAAACUUGUGCUAAUACCGUAUACGCCCUUUUGGGGAAAGAUUUAUCGGAGAAUGAUGAGCCCAUGUUGGAUUAGCUAGUUGGUAGGGUAAAGGCCUACCAAGGCGACGAUCCAUAGCUGGUCUGAGAGGAUGAUCAGCCACACUGGGACUGAGACACGGCCCAGACUCCUACGGGAGGCAGCAGUGGGGAAUAUUGGACAAUGGGCGCAAGCCUGAUCCAGCCAUGCCGCGUGAGUGAUGAAGGCCCUAGGGUUGUAAAGCUCUUUCACCGGUGAAGAUAAUGACGGUAACCGGAGAAGAAGCCCCGGCUAACUUCGUGCCAGCAGCCGCGGUAAUACGAAGGGGGCUAGCGUUGUUCGGAUUUACUGGGCGUAAAGCGCACGUAGGCGGACUUUUAAGUCAGGGGUGAAAUCCCGGGGCUCAACCCCGGAACUGCCUUUGAUACUGGAAGUCUUGAGUAUGGAAGAGGUAAGUGGAAUUGCGAGUGUAGAGGUGAAAUUCGUAGAUAUUCGCAGGAACACCAGUGGCGAAGGCGGCUUACUGGUCCAUUACUGACGCUGAGGUGCGAAAGCGUGGGGGAGCAAAACAGGAUUA
rnacentral:rRNA from 1 species